UUCCCUACGGGAGGCAGCAGUGGGGGAUAUUGCACAAUGGGGGAAACCCUGAUGCAGCGACGCCGCGUGAGCGAUGAAGUAUUUCGGUAUGUAAAGCUCUAUCAGCAGGGAAGAAAAUGACGGUACCUGACUAAGAAGCCCCGGCUAACUACGUGCCAGCAGCCGCGGUAAUACGUAGGGGGCAAGCGUUAUCCGGAUUUACUGGGUGUAAAGGGAGCGUAGACGGCAGUGCAAGUCUGAAGUGAAAGCCUUGGGCUUAACCCGAGGAUUGCAUUUGGAGCUAUCAAGCUAGA
rnacentral:rRNA from 1 species